rnacentral:rRNA from 1 species
CAAAUGUAAAUAGUUUGGCGAAUAAGUGGUGGGUAAGACUGGUGCCAACCGCCGCGGUAACACCAGCGCCACGAGUGGCAAUCGCUUUUAUUGGGCCUAAAGCGUCCGUAGCCGGUUUAUUAAGUCUUUUGUGAAAUUGUUCAGCUUAACUGAACAACGUGCAGAGGAUACUGGUAAACUUGAGACCGGGAGGGGUUAGAGGUAUUCCUUGGGUAGCGGUAAAAUGCUAUAAUCCUUGGAGGACCACCUGUGGCGAAGGCGUCUAACCAGAACGGAUCUGACGGUGAGGGACGAAAGCUAGGGGAGCAAUCCGGAUUAGAUACCCGAGUAGUCCUGGCUGUAAACGCUGCGAGCUAGAUGUUGCAUAUUCCACGUGAAUGUGCAGUGUCGAUGCGAAGGCAUUAAGCUCGCCGCCUGGGAAGUAUGGUCGCAAGACUGAAACUUAAAGGAAUUGAACAAAGGGAGCAC